rnacentral:sRNA from 1 species
UAUGAUUGCUAGAAGCCUUCUCUU